AAUCCUGCUCCUCUCUAUACAAUACCUGCCCUGCAAUCAAAAACAUCAAACUGGGGAGUGAGUAUAUAAAUACUCAGUGAGUGGAGUAGAGAGUACUAUGCACAUGAGACAAGAUAUAAUCAUGGCUCGAGGUGAAAUCUCAAGAGCAAUAACAAGAUGAACAUGAUCUCAACAUAGAGAAUAUGGAGUAAAUCAUCAAUAUCAUCACAAUCAAUAUCAACUCAUCUGAAGCAUAUAUGGAAUAAUCAAGUAAACAUAUAUGCUACUCAUGAAUAUGCUCAACAGAUCAUAAUGCUGGAACAUACAAAUCAGGUGUCAAUAUGCUGAAAUCAUCACUAGACAGCUGUCGGGAGGUGGGUUUUACGCCCCCAGCGAACCAGCAACAACUCCCUACUGUCACAUGCAUAUGCAGGAUAAGACACCAUAUCGAUAAUGUAAAUGCUAGACAGCUGUCGGAAGGUGGUUUUACGCCCCAAGCGAACCAGCAACAACUCCCUACUGUCACAUGCAUAUGCAGGAUAAGACAC
rnacentral:lncRNA from 1 species